UCUUCCAUCCAGAUAUCGAUUAAUUUUUGCAUUUUCUGUUUAUCGUCUGCUAUUAUUACUAGGUCAUCUGCAUAUAGUAAUCCCUCCAUUUUCACAGGUACUAAACUCCUAUACCCUAUUGUUGACUGUAAUUGCCUUGACCUUCUUUUAGCGAUCUUCAUUUCUCUAUCCAUUACUAA
rnacentral:lncRNA from 1 species